rnacentral:lncRNA from 1 species
GUUCCUCAGUACAGUACUCCAGCAGGGCUUAUAUAGACAAACCAAACCCAGCCAAAUCAAACCUCCCCAAAUCCAACAUUUCCUGCAUGUCCAAAAUGGGAGACAGGCGCCUGAGUAACCCGGGGCAAGGUAUAGUGCAAUCACGCUUUAACUUUUGUUCUGUGGGGCUUGCUAAGUUGCUGUGAAGAUAACAUUCUCUGCGAGCGCAGGUUCGGCGGGGCCCGGCUCCGUUCUCCAGCUCUUCAAGGCUGGGCAGCGUGAGUUUUGGCCCCCGCAGCACACUGGUCCUCCGAGCGAGUUUCUCCAACACGGUCGCUACGGGGAAGAGGGGCGCAGGUCCACACCGUCCUAGGCGCACACGAAUGUAAAAGGAGAAUAUUUGUUUAGGAUAUGAUGCACAAGAAAAUGCCCAGAUGUGGAGAAAAGAAAUAUAAAAUAUGACGUUUCUCCUGC